GCUAGCGUGGUGUAGUGGUUUGAACAUUGGACUAUGACUCUGGAGACUGGGUUCGAUUCCCACCUCAGCC